UUUCCUACGGGACGCAGCAGUGAGGAAUAUUGGUCAAUGGGCGGGAGCCUGAACCAGCCAAGUCGCGUGAGGGAAGACGGUCCUAUGGAUUGUAAACCUCUUUUGUCGGGGAGCAAAGAGGCCACGUGUGGUCAAAAGCGAGAGUACCCGAAGAAAAAGCAUCGGCUAACUCCGUGCCAGCAGCCGCGGUAAUACGGAGGAUGCGAGCGUUAUCCGGAUUUAUUGGGUUUAAAGGGUGCGUAGGCGGGCUUUUAAGUCAGCGGUAAAAAUUCGGGGCUCAACCCCGUCCGGCCGUUGAAACUGGG
rnacentral:rRNA from 1 species